GACGAACGCUGGCGGCGUGCUUAACACAUGCAAGUCGAACGGAAGGGCCUCUUUCGGGGGGUACUCGAGUGGCGAACGGGUGAGUAACACGUGAGUAACCUGCCCUUGACUUUGGGAUAACUUCAGGAAACUGGGGCUAAUACCGGAUAGGAGCUCCUGCUGCAUGGUGGGGGCUGGAAAGUUUCGGCGGUUGGGGAUGGACUCGCGGCUUAUCAGCUUGUUGGUGGGGUAGUGGCUUACCAAGGCUUUGACGGGUAGCCGGCCUGAGAGGGUGACCGGCCACAUUGGGACUGAGAUACGGCCCAGACUCCUACGGGAGGCAGCAGUGGGGAAUAUUGCACAAUGGGUGGAAGCCUGAUGCAGCAACGCCGUGUGCGGGAUGACGGCCUUCGGGUUGUAAACCGCUUUCGCUCAUGACGAAGCUUUGUGUGACGGUAGUGGGUAAAGAAGCACCGGCUAACUACGUG
rnacentral:rRNA from 1 species